GUCAUAAAAGAAGGAUUUAGGCUACAUCCAGUUGCACCCUUGUUACUUCCGCAUGAGUCAAUUGAAGAUUGCACACUUGAUGGAUUUCAAAUGCCUAAAGGAUCUCGAGUUUUGGUUAAUGUUUGGGCAAUUGGAAGAGAUCCAGAUGUUUGGCGUGAGCCUGAAAAGUUCAUACCAGAGAGGUUUGUUGAAAGUACUAUUGAUGUUCGGGGACAAAAUUUUCAACUAUUACCAUUUGGUUCUGGCAGAAGAAGUUGUCCUGGUUUGCAAUUAGGGCUUACCAUUGUUCGUUUGGUGGUAGCUCAAUUAGUUCACUCCUUUGAUUGGGAGUUACCAAAUGGUAUGAUGCCAAAUGAUAUUAACAUGACUGAGAAAUUUGGUUUGGUAACAGCUAGAGCUCUACCCCUAAUGGCUAUUCCUAUUUA
rnacentral:misc_RNA from 1 species